GGUAUUUUGACCGUGCUAAGGUAGCAUAAUCAUUAGUUUUUUAAUUGAAAGCUGGAAUGAAAGGUUGAAUAAGAAAAAAACUGUCUCUGUUUAAUAUUAUUAGAAUUUUAUUUUUAAGUUAAAAAGCUUAAAUAUUAUUAAAAGACGAGAAGACCCUUUAGAGUUUAAUUAUUUUAUUAAUAUAUUUAUUUAAGAAUUAAAUUAGGUGUUUAAUUAAAUAAUUUGACUUGGGGUGAUUGAAAAAUUAGAAUAACUUUUUUUAUAAAAAAACAAUAAUUAUUGAAUAAUUGAUCCAAAAAUAAUGAUUAUAAGAUAAACAUUACCUUAGGGAUAACAGCGUAAUUUUUUUGGGGAGUUCAUAUUAAUAAAAAAGAUUGCGACCUCGAUGUUGGAUUAAAAUUUAUUUUUGGUGUAGAAGCUAAAAUAUUGAGUCUGUUCGACUUUUAAAAUUUUACA
rnacentral:rRNA from 1 species